AAUGGAUUCUACUGGUCCCAAAGGAAAGAAAAAGAUAAACUUUCACUGGAUACAUCAAGGUUUUCUUUAUGCAAUGUUACCUUCUAAUCUCACUAUAUAAAGCACGCCUAACCAAACCAUAGCCUUCAAGAAACAGUAUACAGUAGAAGCGCCGAACUUCGUUCCAAUCUUUCCAUCAGAGAUUUUCCAGCUAGUUAACUUCGUCCUGUCAUGGUGAAAGAGGAAAUGAAUGCAAGGACCAAGUUCGUUGCUAUCAUUCUUGUAUUCGCCAUGGUCGCCCAUGGUUUGGUGAGUCCUGGCAUGGGGAUGCUAGCGAACAACGGUGCCGGAGAAACCAAAGGCGUGAAACCCACCCUUGGUGUUGGUGGUGGAACCACCGUGGACAAUCACCAUGCCAUCCCUCGAGAUCAGUAUAGCAAUCAUGGAGGAGAUGAAGGAGGUAGUGGUAGUGAUUCAAACAACUAGUGCCCAGUUCAUGUUCUCUAAGUUCUCUAUGGUGUUGGUUUCUACAGAUUCAUGUGGCUGUUUGUGUGGGAGAGGAAGGUUAUAUUUGUGUUAAGGUACUACUCCUCAUGUGACAUAUAACACACAAAUAUGUAUCUGCAACCGUAAUUUUGGAACGUGACAAUAUAUAUACUGUUUGUAAGGAA